GAGGCAAGUCUAACAGCAAAAGGGUAGGAGGAAAUCUUCUGGGGGAUGAAAUGGCCUAUAUUUUGUUCUCAAAAAUCUGUAUAUUUUCUUAUGUCAUUAUUCCCUGAGAGUAACCCAGACAUUCAUUGAAAAUUUCAACAGAGAUUUUCACAGAAAGAGUUUCAGCAAAGUCUAUGUGACUGUGAAUAGGAGAACAGAUGAAGAAACAAGGAGUCAUGCCUGUCUCAAAGGAGUGAUUUCACAAGGCAGUAAGAAAUGACCACAGGUUAUAGCUUGUGUUACUACACACUGAUGAUGCCUUUGAGGCUAUCCACUGAUGUCCUCACCCACGGCACAAUCUUUCUGAAGUUCCAGAUGAAGAGAACUGUGCCCAGGAGUUGUGCUUAGUGGAGUACAACAGAGCCUCAACUGUGGCUGACUUAGAUGCCAAUGAGAAGUUUGGACUUCUGGACAGAUUAGAUUUAGGCUACUCUUGACUGUGACAGUUUCUCGGAUAUUUCUUGUUUGGUUGACCUGUACCAACCUUGAGAAGUGCUAGUCAGGUGUAAUGCUGAUAGAAUGUAAGCCUUGAGUUGCUAAAGAUAAUCUGGAUUACCACAGAGAAACAAUCUGAGAAGAAAGCUAACAGAAAGGAGAGCAGAUUUGGGAAGUGAAGUGGAACAGAUUCCUGAGGAUAAUGUGUGAACAUCCUAAUUUGGACAAGCCAGAUUUACUCCUUGACUUUUUAGUUAAAUAAGCCAAUAAAGCUUUGUUGUUUGUUGUUUCUUUUUUUUCUCUAAAGCCCAUUCAGGUUGUAUACUUGUUACUGUAAUUGGAAGACUCAACUAAAAGAUUUUCCUUAGGAUUUUAUUCCUCCAAAUAGAUUAACUAUCGUUCCACACAUAUCUGACAUUAGCAUCUUCUUAAUUCUCAGUUAUUUUACCUUAAGACUCUUCUAUCUAGAUUCUUACAUAAAAAAGAAUAAUGGGCUAAAACUUCAGUCAAACUGAUUAUUUAGCUUCAUUUAGACUAUACAAUUUAUCUACACUGGGG
ensembl:lncRNA